CUGCCUGGUGGAGGGCGGCGACUUCCUGGACGCCACACCAGCCACACCAGCUACAGCAACAGCCAACAGAAAAAAAAAAAAAAGUAAACAUAGCAACCUCUCAUUAGCCACAGCUCCACCCCAACACCAGAGCCAAUCACGUCCACACCUCCCCACAACCACACAUCCUCACAUUCCUUCCACCGCCACACCCAUGUCAGAGUUACAACCACACCCAAGCAACCAGUCUCUCACCCCACACGGUCUCCUUUGCCUCACCACUCUCCACUAGCUUCUUCCUUAUCGCGAACGUCAACUCCCGUGAAACAAGAGUUAUUUCUGUGGCCGUGACUAGCGGCUAAACAAACGGCGGACGGUCGCAGUGUUUGGUGUCCCCGCUACCAUGGCAACGCAGUGGAGGCGGCUGCGGGGUAAACAGCUGUCUGCCGCACGUCCAAACAUGCCACCUGGGACACAGAAAACGGAGUCAUCUGCAGAAACUCUCAACAAGCCACGAAGGUAUAAAACAAACAGCAAGUCGUAAAUAGACACGACGACGACCACACCAGCUUAGGCGUGAAGAUAAGGCCAAUAAACGAACCAAGAAUUUGACUGCCAGAAUAAAAUAUGCACCAAUCACUGAGAAUCGGAGACGCGGGCACGAGAUGGGACGAAUGCCAAGCUUGAGAGAAGUAUUGCGUGCACUGUAGAGGUAACACAAAGAGUCCGCGUCCUACAUAAAGCGUUCUCAGUUUUCUCUGAACACAUACAACUGACAGGAAACUUCAACGUAAGGCGGAAGGAAGGGAGAAAGAGGGAUGGGGUAGGGUGGAGUCAGAUGGGCACGAGAGAGAGAGAGAGAGAGAGAGAGAGAGAGAGAGAGAGAGAGAGAGAGAGAGAGAGAGAGAGAGAGAGAGACAAAUGAAAAUCACAGAAUUACAAUAACGAUAAUAGUAAUAACAAAUGUGUAAAACGAUUAAUUUGUUUAUGAAAUAUAUACUGGAGUAUAAAAAUCACUGAAAUAAAA